CGUAGGGUGCAAGCGUUGUCCGGAUUUAUUGGGCGUAAAGAGCUCGUAGGCGGUUUGUCGCGUCGGAUGUGAAAACCCAAUGGCUUAACCUUGGGCCUGCAUUCGAUACGGGCAAACUAGAGUGUGGUAGGGGAGACUGGAACUCCUGGUGUAGCGGUGGAAUGCGCAGAUAUCAGGAAGAACACCGAUGGCGAAGGCAGGUCUCUGGGCCAUAACUGACGCUGAGGAGCGAAAGCGUGGGGAGCGAACAGGAUU
rnacentral:rRNA from 1 species